AAAGGCACAUUGAUAGAGGUGUUUUUAAAAGCCGGCUCCAUAAGUGAAAUAAAAAAAAAUAUCCCAGUUUUAAAGCCGGUUUAAGAUAACCGCAUGAAAAAGUUGGAUUUUAUUCAGGAUGUUCUCUGGGCUUCUUCAUUUGCUCGAGCAGCGACCAUGAGGAGACAUCGCCCUAAUCGUAGUCAUUCUUCAUUUGCUCUAGCGGAAACCCCAAGCAGAGGAGAUAUAAAUUAGAACCCUUAAUGCCACGAUUCCCCCUCCUCCUCCUCGCCGAAACCCUAAACCUAAUCCCCGACCCAGCUCCUCCUCCGGCGGUAGUGGUUGGUUCUCCUCGAUCUCUUCAACCAAACCUCUUCUCUCACCCUUAAAUAUUGAGACGAUGAAGACGAUGACGAUGACGAUGAUGAGACCGAAACCCUAAUUCCUUCUCCUUCAUCGGCUCAUUGGACGCCAUUAAUCUCAGGAAGGAGGUGGAGAAAUUGAUGUUCAAGGAGAGCUUUGCGAUGGUGAAGAAAUCCGACGACCCAUGCUCCGAUUUCUAGUGACCCAUGGAGGAGAUGAUGGUGUGAAGAAGGAGCUGUACGAGCCCUGCGAUCUCGAAGAGCUCUUGCAUUGCUUUCUCUCUCUCAACUCUCGCCAUCACCACCGUGCCAUCAUCUCCGCCUUCUUCGAGAUUUGGGACACUCUCUUUUCGGCCACCACCGCCAGUGAGCAACACCCCCGAGGAUGAGUUACAAGCCCUUGAUGGAGUUCAUCCUGUUUCUAGAUGCUGCCAAGAGUAUGGCUUAUGACUCAAUUCACCAAUGUAUUUAGAAUUUUAUUUAAUUUAAUUAGAAAUAUUGAGAUACGUCUAUUCUGUCACUGCAUUCUUUAAAAGGUGAGAUCAUGAGGACCAUGUUUAGGAAAUAAUUGCCAUGGUCAUUGUUCUUAGGUUUUAUGAUCUUAUGAUUAUUUUUAUUUUGAGUUUUAUUUGCUAAUGAUGUAGAGGUCUAUUAGAUUUUGAUUUCUAUUAGUUUUUAUGCUAACAAGCUCAAGAAGGAAGUAUACAAUUACCCUAAGUUUCAUCUUUUAAUCAUUAACAGUGCUUAGUCUCCAAUUCAUUCUUGCUUUUUUUUUUUAAUAAUUUGAUAUCGUUGUUGUUUAUUUUUUCCUUAUUGAUGGGAAUGAGAUAUAAAUUAUGUGGAUUUGUGAUUCUAUUUAUUUAUGUGUGGUUUGGAUUUUGCUAACCUACUUGAUUUUGAUCUUCUUGUUAUUUCUCUUAAGAAAAUUGCCCAAACCUUAAUGAAUUGAGUUAGCUUGGUUUAUUGGUUUUAGCUUGGGCUUGCUAAUUUCACUAUAAAGAUCAAUAAUUCUCUUAAUGAGGAGCCAAUCUAGGAAGACCCUUUGGGCAUCAAAGUAAAUUUCUUGGUGAUAUGUUCAGUGAUUCAUCAACUUACAUGUACCAGUUUACUUCAUUACUAAAUUGCAUUGUUAUACAAGGCAUUAUCAUUUUCCAUUUGCUGAAAGGUUUACUUGGGGCAUAAAUUAGUUUGUCUAGAACUAAUGCCUAGUUGGCAGGAACCCUAAACACCUUGAUGACUUCUUUGUGGCCACCUUAAACAACACCGAGGGGGAGAACAUAAAAUUAGUAAACUCAGGUGGGUUAGAUUUGAGUGUAAUGAAGAAUACAUCAAAUUGACAUAAUUGUCGUAAACGAAAGUGUUCAAUUAUGGCAUUGUUAAAGGUGUUUUUAUUUUUAAUUUUUUAUGAAUAGGUACAUGAAAGCUUGGAAUGGGCUUACUUCUGUCGAAUAGAAUCUAUAUAAUUAUAUGAACUAAAUUUGUAUUGAUGAUGAAAAUUAAAAUGGAAUUUUGUUGGUGCUAAUUAAAUCUCCAUUGAUGUUUGUUGUUGUCAAGCAAGUUCUUGCUUAGUGUCCUUGAUGAAAUGUUAAUUACUACUAACGAAUGUAGUAGCUAUUAUUGGAUAGAAAUUUAUGGUUAUGCUAUGAGAUCUUUGCUGGGAUUAUUGUGAAUGGCUCUUUUUUAGGAAGUGAUGAGUGUGAAGAACUUAUUUGAUUGUGCUUGUGAGAUAUCAGGGGCCUCCUUGUGUUGGGAACACAUAAUAUUUCUUGUUUGAUAUUUGGAGAGGUUAAUUCUGCAUUGGUUGUUAUCUUGUGAGAAGCAUUUUGAUGACUUUGAUGACUUUGAUAACUGCUUAUGAGAUAUCAAAGGGACACUAUGUAUUGAGAAUUCAUAAUAUUUCUUGUUUGAACUUUGAAUUCCUGAUUUGGAAAUUUCAAGUAGAAAAAUAUCCCUGGUAUACAUAUUGAUGACAUCCUUACUUAUCUGAAAUGUUUGAGAAUGCUCAGUUGCAGAUGAUGAACCAAAUAGAAAGAACUUCCUCAGUCCUGUUUGGCUUGAAAUCUUACAUGUGUGAAAAGUCAUUGAGCAGUAGCCAUUGACUUUCACAGUGUUAGGUAGUGUAUAAACAUGAACAUCUUCUAUUUUAGUAGAUCUUGAUUGCCUUCACAGAAUCUCUCUUGCUCAAUCUCUGCAGCUUAGCAUGAAAUAUUUAAGAGACACAAAAUCAGAAGAAAGGGUUUGGUUUUUAUCAAUUUAUUUUUACAAAGUUCAAUCAUUACAUCUUUUUGUUUUCCUUUUUUUGUGACAAUAAUUUUUUUUUUGGCCAUCUGUUUAAUCUUUUAUUGCAGGAUAAGUGGGUUACAAAUAAACUGCUCAACAUCCUAUCGACUGUUGAUGUUUUUGUAAGCUUGCCUGAUUAUUUCUUUAUCAUGUUGGUGAUGUCUGUUAGAUUAACUUAUGCUAAUGAAGUGCACGCUCAAUGCGCACACACACAUGUUAAGAAGUGAUGGAUGAGUGUUAGAGACAUAUGAUGAAUUGAUACCUUAAUUUGCUUGCAAUUGUGGCCAUUGCUGGUUGAUUCUCAUUAUUGAAGCCAAAUAAAGGCAAAAGAUAAAGGUUAAAUAAUUAUUUGCAAGAUUGCUAGUCCCAGCUUCAGCCAUGAAGUUUUCUUCCUACGAUGUUAUGCUUACAUGCGUCCAUUUACUGCUGAAUAUAAUAGCAACCUUCCCACAACUUGCUUAUUGGGAAAUCAUUGUAAGUUGUAUUAUAUAUUACUACAACAUUAGCAUUCAUCUAUCUGUAUAAUGUGAAUAUCUUGCUUACUUGUGAUAAUAUUUUCAUAGCUAGGUCUUCUUAUAAGGUAAUUGAAGAAGUCAAUGAUCCUGGAUUAGGUAAUUACUUGAUUUUAUGGUUGAAAUAUGAAUAUUACUUGAUUUUCUCUUGCCUUUUGACAGAGAGAAGAAAACAUGGAUGGAAACCUAUUGGCCUUGUACAUGCUAGAGUAUAUAUUAUGGGUGAAAUGCAUAAUAUUGCAUUUCUUGACGAAUUUCUUUAAAUGCUAGUAAAUUAAUUUCUGAGAAAUGAAGGAGAGAAGUGUGAAGAAAGGAGAGGGUUCUUUUCAAGCAUCAAUUCAAAGAAAGGCCACUCUGUCACACUUGCAACUAUAUGUGCCAAGGCAUUGUCCUCAAACACAGAAGGGAUAUGGAUUGAAAAGCAAAGAUUGGAAAAAGUGAGUAUUAUUUCAUGAUGGUUGUGCAUUUUCUUGUGAGGUUCUCAAGUUGGUUGUCUUCUGGUCUGGAAGCUCGGAAAGCACACCAUUUGAGUUCAAACUCUACAACAAACUUGGCACAUGGCAAGCUGAGCCUGGCGUCGUUAGUUAAGAUGUCAUCACUGCUGUCAAGGCAGGCUACAGGCAUAUUGAUUGUGCACGGAUUUAUGGAAAUGAGAAUGAGAUUGGUUUGGCUUUAAAAAAGCUGUUUGCUGAUGGAGUGGUGAAAUGUGAAGAACUAUAUAUAACCUCCAAACUUUGGUGUGGUGAUCAUGAUCCAGAAGAUGUCCCAGAGGCACUGGAAGCAACCUUGAAAGACUUACGACUUGACUAUCUAGAUCUUUAUCUGGAAGAUGUUAAACUGUUAAAAGAUACAGGCAUGGAUGCAUACAGAUUCUCUAUCUCUUGGUCAAGGAUUUUACCAAGGAUCAAUAAAGGGUGGUAUAAAUCAUGAGAGAAUUGCAUAUUACAACAAUCUGAUCAAUGAGUUAAUACAAAAUGGAAUCAAGCCUUUUGUGACGAUAUUCCAUUGGGAUGUUCCGCAAGCUCUAGAGGAUGAGUAUGGAGGCUUUCUAAAUCGAAGAUUCUUGGAUGACUUCAAGGACUAUUGUGAGGUUUGUUUCCGGGAAUUUGGAGACAGAGUGAAGCAAUGGAUCACAUUAAAUGAACCCUGGACUUUUAGCAGCUAUGGAUGACACUGGAGUUUUUGCACCCGGGCGAUCCUCAAUCUCUGGAAAUUGUUCACUUGGUGAUUCUGCAAAAGAACUAUACAUUGUCUCUCACAAUCUUAUUCUUGCACAUGCACUUGCAGUCAAGCUUUACAUAACACUUAUUUGUAAAAAUAGUGAAGACAUAAAGACAUGAGGCGAAACUUAUUAGUAAAGUUGAUGUCUAUUACUUGAUCUUGUUGUUCUAAAGGUGUUAGAAAUGAUCAAGGGAAACUUGGCUUCC